UACAGAGGGUGCAAGCGUUAAUCGGAAUUACUGGGCGUAAAGCGCACGUAGGUGGCGACGUAAGUCGGGUGUGAAAGCUCCGGGCUCAACCUGGGAAUUGCAUUCGAGACUGCAUUGCUGGAGUACGGAAGAGGAGGGCGGAAUUCCCGGUGUAGCGGUGAAAUGCGUAGAUAUCGGGAGUAACAUCAGUGGCGAAGGCGUCCCUCUGUUCCAGUACUGACAAUCAAGUGCGAAAGCGUGGUGAUCAAACAGG
rnacentral:rRNA from 1 species